ACUGAAAGACGGAUAUGCACCAAGUAAAAAAGAAGCGUUUAAAGUUGUGCGGAAGUCAAAUGUUUUAGAUAAAAUGCCAUCUCGGGCAUCUGUCGGUGCCACUCCGGCUUCUGCUAAUAAUGAAGCUGCUGCAGCCACACCCGCUCUACCACCCGGGUUCGACCCACAAGGAAUUCUAGAUGAUAUGAGAAAACUCAAACUUAUUGUCAAAGCUCACGAACGACGAAUCAAAACUUUGGAAGAAAAGCUAUCACAGUAUGACACCAAUUUAACAGACGAGGAAGAGACGGAGACAGUGUAAUAUACAUGUAUAUAUAGAAUUGCCUCAGAAAACCAUAGACUUUCUAAAAGACGGAUUUGAUCCUGAAAAAUUAGUAAAAGAUUUAAAAUCGCUUCAAGACACAGUAAAAAAACAGGAUAAACGCAUUCAACAAUUAGAAGAUAGGCUGGCCAAGU